ensembl:misc_RNA
AUUGGAUCAGAGCGUGGACAUAUGUGUGGGAGAAGAUUCUGGACGCUCUUGAGACAAUCCAAGCGAAAUUCAGUGAGGGGCUAUACUGCUGAGAAGCAGAUAAAAUGGGAAA